CCUUCUGGCCAUGCAUGGGUGAAUCCCAGAACCCAGGAGUCUGGAGCAAACUCUUCCUUCAGUUUUCAGGAACACAAGAAACACCAGCCCAGUAUCAAGGGAAGAAGGCUGUGGACGAUGGAGACAGAGUUUGGAGUGAUGUAGCUGCAAGCCCAGGAAUGACCAGAGUUGCUGCAGCAACCCGCAGAAGCUCAGCAUGAGGCCUGGAACAGAUAGCCCUCCAGGCCCCCAGGAGGAACCAACCCUGCUGGCAUCUUGAUUUCAGACUUCCAGCCUCCAGAACCAUAAGAUAAUAACUGUCUGGUGUUUUCAGCGACCCAGUUGGUGGCAAUCUGUCAGGACAGCCUUCGGGAAUGAAUACAGUCAACUUGCAUAGAACUGGACCCCAGAAAAAAAUGAAUUGGAUGUGACUAUAACUGAAAGUUUUCAGUGAGUACCAGGUAGAUUGAACCACCAGAAAAACUGCAGGAUGAGAGAAGUAUGGUUCAGUCAAGGGUAGGAGAUGGUUACCAAGAGAGGAGAA